UCUAAUGACCAGUGAUGAUGAGCAUUUUUUAAUAUGUUUGUUGGCUUCAUAUAUGUCUUGUUUUGAAAAGUGUCUGUUCAUAUCCUUCACCCACUUUUGGAUUUCUUACUAUGUAAAUGAGACUUUAAAAUCCCAGUUAGCCAUUGGCCUUUCAUAUUUUUUUCUGCCUUCCAUUUUAUUAUGACUCAAAAUUGUUUUUGUUUUCUAAAACGGAGUUUCACUCUUGUUGACCAGGCUGGAAUGUAAUGAUGCGAUCUCAGUUCAGUGCAGCUUCUAUCUCCUGGGUUCAAGCGAUUCUCCUGUCUCAGUGUUCUGAGUAGCUGGGAUUACAGGCACCUGCCACUAUGCCUGGCUAAUUUUUGGUGUUUUUAGUAGAGACCGAGUUUCACCAUGUUGGCCAGGCUGAUCUCGAACUUCUGACCUCAGGUGAUCUGCCCACCUCAGCCUCCCAAAGUGCUGAUAUUACAGGUGUGAGCCACCACACCUGGCUGACUCAAAAUUUUUUUUUGAUUUCAAGGUGUUUUCCUUGUGGAAGGUUUUAUAGCUAUUCCUUCAAUUGUAUGUGGAACCCUGUAUUAAGAAUAGGGACUAUCCCCAUUACUUCUUUCCUAUGCUCCGCAGUAAUGACUGCAGUCAAAGGGAUGCAGUGGACGCUCAGCAACAGUCAUGGUGCUGCCUGCAUUAUGCACCAUCUCAACUGCUAGGCCAUGGCAGGAGCCCUUCCCAGAAUUCACUCCUUUAGCCACAGGGACCAUGCAGCAAAAUAAGGGGCCAGGACCCUAACCUGCUUCCAACCCUGCUUCUCUCAUAGCAUUCGUUGGUUUUGAUCUCAACUCAUUAAAAUCUUUUUUAAAAAAGCACCUUCUUGAAAUUGUGAAAAUCAAACAGUGAAUCCAACCCCGUUUAUGAAGUAGUAGAUCCAGAAGUAACACCUCACAGUAUAAAAGAAACACAUUCAACUGUACAUGUAGGAUGAAUCCUAUUUUCUUGUCACUUUCACUUUUCAAAUUGAAGUUUCCUUGUAAUGAAAAAAAAAUUCUGACAGAAAACUAAAUUGAAACAAAUGGUUUAAUUUGUCAGUUUACAGUAAGUUAAUUUUCUACUUUUAUGUCUAAAAUUGAGUGUAUCAAGUUUGUGAAUUGUAUUCUAUGCUGAAUGUAUGAUGUGUUCUGUAUGUAACAUCUUAUAUUAGGAUGGAUAAUUCAUGGUCUGUUUUACACAUCACACUUUAAAUUUUGAAAUGGGAGGGGAGAGUUUUUUUUCCCUUUGCUUAUUUUGAGUCUUAAAAGCUUGUUUCUCUAUCAAGUUUAUGAAUCUAAACUCUUAUGAAUAUAAAGACUUUCUUACAGAAGGGAAAAGAUAAGCCAUGUAACCAUUUCACUGUUAUUUUCACUGUUGGCAAUAUUUUCACUUUUCUCAAGGAAAGAGUUUUCCUAUUCAGAUUGAUCAUAUUGAUCAAUAGGAGAUCCUACUGAUGAAAGCAAUGAAAAACAAUAUCCUGGGAUAGAAAACAGAAAGCUGGAGAGGGUGAAGGUACCCAUUCAUAUGCUACAUAGGGAGAGUGUUCUUUCCUCAAAUAGUCAUUGGAAAAAUCCAUUGUAUGGCAAAAGACAUUUAUCAAUUUGGGAAUGAGUGCACUAAAACCUGAAGAAGACCUGGAACUUAAAACUCUUUCUUUAUUCCAACAAGAGCUGAUUUUGCUGCAGAGUAGUUAGGACUUCCUCUCUGUUCUACUAAUAAUGGUAUGGUUACCUUUAUUUUUUUUAAUUAGGCAGUAAUUUCAAUAAUGUGUGUUCAGAGUAUAAUUGAAUAGAUAAUUUACCUGAAAAAAAAUACACCAAAGUUUUUUCAUGUAGUGUUUCAGUUUGACAAUAAAAAAAAGUACAUUGUGGGAUAUUUAUAGUAUUUUUCAAUCUAUUUUUACCAGCAGACUGAACUGAUUUGGGGCAUAUGGGUUAAAAACAGGAAGUGUGGUUUUACAGUAGGUAGUAUCCAGAGUUUCCAGGGUUGAUUUCUUAUAGUAUUGUCUGAAGAGUGUUAUGUAUCAAAACAACGUUAGGCUGAGUACCUUGAAAUCCGCCUAUGUUUACAGGAGCCGUCUUUCCAAUUAUGACAGGAAAUGCUUCAUGGAAAAGCUUGCAUUCUUGGUAUAGGUUCAGAUGGCAUAGCAGUUGUUUUCUGUAAUUACCCCGUGUUCUUCCUCUCUAACACUUUUCAGACACUCUUUAUACAGUCAGAGUAGAUCUUGUGUAACUUUUAGUAAAUUUCCUUUGAUUUUUGUAUUUUGCUUAAAAUUGUAUUUAUUUUCAUGAAAAGUUUUGUCAAAUAGCUGUUUAAGAAUGCUUUUAAAUAGACUGUCAUAGCUAAGGAGGAGCAUAUAUUAGGGAUAUUAUUAAUUAUAGUCAUGAGAGAAUCCAAGUUAAAAUAAUAAAAAGGCAUGAAGAAAUAGGAGUAUUAUUCUGUGUGGCUUUUUGCAUGCUAGGUUGGCAGAAUCCAUGAAAAGUGCAUUGUUUGAAUACCUUUCCACUCAGCAAUUCUACUUCUGGGAAGAUAUCUUACAUAAACUGUUCUGUUAGAAUGCCAAAAUCUAUGUUCAUUGCAGCAUUAUUUAUGGUCAUAAAUAAAAGGCAACAUAAAUGUCCCAUAGUGGGAGAAUGGUCAAAUAGAUGAUGAUAAUCCAUGCUAGAAUACUAAGCAGCCAUUGAAAAUUAGAAGGUAGAUACAUAUGCAUUGAAGAGCAAAUAACUCUAUUAAAAAAUGAGUCAAAGACCUUAACAGACACCUUACCAAAGUAAAUAUGUAGAUGGAAAAUAAACAUAUGAAAAGAUGUUCAACAGUGUGUGUCAUUACAGAAUUGAAAAUUAAAACAACAGUAAGAUACCACUGCAUGCCUAUUAAAAUGGCCAAAUCCAGAACAUGGAAAACACAAAAUGCUGGUGAAAAUGUGAAGCACCAGGAUCUCUCCUUCAUUGCUGGUGGGACUGCAGGAUUACCCAGCCACUUUGGAAGACAGUUUGGCAGUCUCUUUUGAAACUAAACAUCUUCUUACCAUAUAAUCCAUGAAUGGCACUAUUCGGCAUUUAGCGAAAGGAGUCACAAAGUUGACGUCCACACAAAAACCUGCACACCAAUGCUUAUAGCAGUCUUAUUCAUAAUUGCCAAAACUUGGAAGCAACCAAGUAAUCCUUCAGUAAGUGAAUGUUAUGGUCCAUCCAGAAAAUGAAUAUUACUCAGCACUUAGAUGAAAUGAGCAAGAUGUGGAAGGAACCUUAAAUGCAUAUUAUUAAGUGAAAUAAACUGAAAAGGAUGCAUAUUGUGUGAUUCCAACUAUAUGAUAUUCUGGAAGAGGAGACACUGAAAAGAGGAAAAAGAUCAGUGGUUGUCAGGUUAUCGGGGAAGGAGGGAGCACAGAAGAUUUUUAGGGCACUGAAACUACUCUGUGUGUGUUACUAUAAUUGUUGGUACCUGUCAUUUUACAUUUGUCCAAACCCAAAACAUGAACACCACCAAAAGUGACCCUGAAUGUAAACUGUGGACUUUGGGUAAUAAUGACACAUAUCAGUGUAGGUCCAUCAACUGUAACAGAUGCACCACUCUGGUGGGGGUGUUGACAGUCAGGGAGGCCCGUGCGUAUGUGGUAGGGCGGGUGGGGGGACAUAUGUGAAAUCUCUGCACCUUCUGCUCAGUUUUGCUGUGAACCUAAAACUGCUCUAAAAAGUAAAGUCAAUUAAAAAUUGUUACCAAUUACAGAAUGAGAUUUACCAAGUUUCAAGAAGAGAAUGUGUAACAUCUCAUUUUUUAGGAAAAAAUUAUAUUCAUAGGAAAAGAUCUGGAAGAACAUACGCUAACCUGUCAGUAGUGGUUAUUCCUGAGAAGGAUGAAAGAGGAGUUUAUUGGGCUUUUAUUAUUAUUAUUAUUAUUAUUUUGCCUGUUUUUUUAAUUGCAUUUUAGCUUUUGGGGUACAUGUGAAGAACAUGCAAGAUUGUUGCAUAGGUGGGCUUUUAUUAUUAUGUAAUAAUAAUAAAUUGUGUUUCUUUACAAUGAGCAUUUAAUUACUCAAUUUUCUAAAUAAAAAAUUAAAGAUUUGGUCAGUCCAAAGUGUUCAGUAUUUUAUUCUUUAAUGUGGACCUUCUCUAUUGAGGUUUCUCCAAAUUAUUAAGAAGAAGAAGAAUCCUGUCUGCCUGUAGAACACUUUUUAUUUUACAAAACAUUUUCCCAUACCCUAAAGAAAAUCAAAAGCUUAAAUUAACUGAUUCUCCAGCUAAGAUUUAAAUCCAGGUCAUUCCAAUACACUGCUGUAUAUUAUCUGUUAUCAGUUAUUGCUAGGCACUCUCAUGAGAUCAGCACUAAAGGAACACUAGCAUCUACAUGUAAAAAACAUCAUUUUCUCGUAAAUGACACUGAGGAUUCUCAUCAAGCAGAAGCUCUCUCUUUGCCAUGUGAGCUUUGUCAUUUGCCUGAACAAUUGUAUUUCAUGCAGUUACUUUCUUGCACUAUUUAAAGACAGCGUAAGGUUCUUCUAUGUGCAAGAUGGUCAUUUGUUGCAUUCAGCCUGGUGUGUCCCUACUAGAGUGCAAGCCCUGUGAGUCGAGGGGCUGCAUGUGUGUGUAUGCGUGUGCAUGUGUGUAGUCACUGCUAUAUCCCCAGUUCCUGGAAUAGUGUCCCACAUGUAAUACUAAUGGACACUCAAUAUUUGUAAUAGUGUGCCUGUCUGCCUGUUCCAAAAUCGAGUAACCUCCCUAUAUGAUUAAAAGAGGAAACUGACAAAUAUACCAAGAAAGAAGGCUCCUCUUCUAUUUUGAUGCAUGAAAACAAGAUCUUCAUUGUUGGAGAAGAUGCUGGGUUAUACUAGCUGGCUUACAGGAAACAGCCUACAAGUUCUUGCUCAGUAGAGAUGAGCCUUGUUUGCUCCAUGGGGAAUUUCCACACUGGGCUACUAAAUUAAUUGCUAAGUGGUAGUCUAGGUUGAUACUGUGUGGGUGGGGACACUUUUUGUCAAAUAUCAUGACACACUCUAAUUUCAUAUUCAGACAGUGGAGGAGAUACAUGUUGUAAAUGCUUAGAAGCUGUUUCUCAUUCCCUCGCUUACAUAACAUGGAAAGUUGUGGGGGUUUAUCGAAGGGAACCUUUUUAAAAACAAUACUUACUACUGCACCAUAAUAAUGUAGCCUUUAACUCCAAAGAGCAAAUCAGUUUGCCUUAUUUUUCUUUGCACAGUGUCCACAUUGAUGAUCCCUUCCCUAAUACUGUGUGCACCAUAAAUUUGGCAUUGUAUGGCCCACUGUUACUGGAACACAAACUAAAACUCAGACUUCCUUACACACUUCUUAAGUGUUCACUCUGUCCUAAUACAUCUGGGAAUCUUCCUAAUACCCAGCAUGUGGGGAACAUUCAGCAAAUACUUAAUGGCAUUAUUUGGAAUAAGCUAUGAGCUUAAGUAUAUUGCUGGAAAAAUAAAGCAUAUAGAUUAAGCAAAUAGAUUAAGGCUCAGUAAUAUUCUGUACUACUGUACUUACUUUAUUCAAAUUGUAUUUUUCAAAUGGAUCUUGAUGCUUAAUCUCAAAAGGACUGUCUUUGUUUUCCAAAAUCCUAUGAGAAGCAGGAGACUUUAUGUUUUCCCAACGAAUACCUUCUUCCCACAUAUACUGUUGCUUUAGUAGGUGACUUAGGUGUCUUCUGACUUGAGCAUUGUAGAAUUCUACAUGUAAUUAGGUUUUUCUCUGACGUAUUUAUUCCCUCAUUCACUUAUCAACUGCGUAAGUCUUCAGAACUUAGUAGUGAGCAAGCAGACAUGGUCUUUGUCUUCCUUUUUUUGUUAUUCAUGGACAUUUUUGAACAUCUAUGUGCCAACCUCUGUGAUGGGAGCUGAGGCUACAAUGAGGAGAAUGGCAGAUCAUCCCUGUGCUGUGGAGUAUACAGUCCAGCAGGGGAGACAGUUGUAAUUGAGUGAUCACACAGAUAACUGCAGAGCUGCCCCAGUGGGAACAGGGACAAACAGUGCCAGAGAGGACAAGGUUGGUCCAGGCAGCACCUACAAAUGCAGAGUGGGGUGGGGUGGGGACGUCCUAACACCUCCCAUUUGUUGACCGCCUGCUGUCUGGCAGAUGUCUCCCUAACCUCUUAAAAACAUUAUUCCACUUAAUAAGUGUUGUCUCUGUUUUAUAAAGGAGAAAGCUGCAAGUCGGAGCAGUUCAGAAACUUGACCCAGGUGACUGCUCAGUAAGUAACAUGAGUGUCUGAGGCCCAGUCUAAUUCUACCUCUGUCCCCAGUCUCUUCACUGAGGCCGUGGCUCAGACGCCGCCGCAGGAGCCAAGUCUUCCCCAGCCAUCACUGGCGUUUGACAUUCAGCCCUACUCAAUACCAGUACAAAGUAUGACAAAAGAGUUGAAUUAAAAUUCUAACUUCUCAGGACUUUGUCUGAAAUCGGCAAAAUGAGAGUACUGUCAAGGACAAAUGUUUUCAGUUCCAGCAGAUCACAGCCAUAUUUCGUGUGUUUUUUUUGCCGUUGUUGUGUUCCUAUAUGCAGACUUAACUAUUAUGCCAUUCCUUGUAACCACUCAAAGGAAUUAACGUACAACUAGGAUUUACAGCAGCUAAAUGACAGUCAUGGCAGGACCAUUGUCCAAACUUAAAUACCAGUGUUUCAGAAAGAGAAAUUAGCAUGCUUUUCCUAGUCAUGCUUUUUAGUCAACUGUUAUGUCUUCAACUUUAAAAUAACACCUGAAAUAUGUGUACUGCUUUAGAAUUGACAAGAUGCUCCUCCCCACUAAAAUGUAAGCUCUCUUAGUGUGGGGGGUCCUGUCUGUUUUGCUCAUUUUCUUACAUCACCACCUGGUGGUGCCCAGCACAUGAUAGAUACACAGCACGUGUUGAAAGAAUGAGGGAAUUGCACACACGUGACAUUUUCACAACAGCUUUGUUAGCAAAACGGAUCUCAUGAUCUGUUCGCAGAGUAAGCAGUUGUCUGAAAGGUAAGCUGAGUUGCAGAAGGUCCCACGAUUGGCAUAUAGAUUACCCAGAAAAUUCCAUCUGAAGUGUUCCUUCUGUCGUAUCAAUACACUUAAAAGGAAUGAUCAACUAUUAACGUUAACGACAGUGAAAUGAGAAUAAAAUUCAGUGGGAAGAGAACAUACACCACCAAAAUGAAUUGCAGUGUGGUCCCUCUGUCACCAUCACAGGCCUUGUGAAAAAAGUUCUGUCACCAAAACUCAGAUUCUGGGCCUGCCCCAGGAGCCAGAAUGGAGGUCCUUUAAAACUCAUCCCACGCCCACACAUUGUUCUACCACCACUGUGAGGCUUCAGCUGCUUCCGUAGAUGCACGCACAGCCCCUCUCUGAACGGCCUCUGCCUUACCUUCACCAUCCAACCUCCCAUUGAAGGAAGAGACUGCGAGGCCACGGCCGCUGCCUGCUCCGAGUCUCCUCUCAGUGUUUGGAUGGCCAUGCCUUUGCCUUGGCUACCAGCACCUCCCUCUUCCCAGUCAGGAAAGCACACGGCUAUUGUUUGCUAGUGGUGUUGGCCGUCAGAGCCGCAUGGAACCAGCAAGCCAGGCCACCCCGGCGCCUGUCCCAACCCUGGCUUCUUUGGGCACAGGUGUUUGAAAGAGCUGACAUCCUCCCACAGACAGAUUUUGGAUAACAUUUCAAAACAGAUAACAAGCAAUUGGAAGUGAGCACUUUAUGGGAGUAAAAGUCUUGCUUGGACCCAAGAGCCCUUGGGACAGGCUGGGGAGGAAGGCAAGAGUGUGGUGUGCUGCUCGACUGGUCUCCCUAGGCUGAUACCCAACUGUGGCCAGACUGAAGAGAGAAAGGAAGUGAAAUUCUGAAUGGAGAAGACCGCAGAGAUGUUACUGGCUUCCCAGACACGGACACUGUCUAGCAUCUGCAGCAGGCCCUUUGCCCUUUCUCCGUUCCUAUCCAGACACUAUCCUUUAACUUAUUUAAGGACUUCACAAAAUAAAUAUAGCAACCAAACAUUUAAUAAAUUGUUUUAAAUUGGAGUACAUUUUUUUUUUGCUUCUGUGGGUUCAUAGUAGGUGUAUACACUUACUUGAUGUAGACUUGCAAGUGCAUAAUAAUCACAUCAGGAGUAAAUGGGGCAAAGAUUUUUUUACAUUGUAAAAUUCUUUCAUGUGACCAUCCUGCAUAUAUUGGCAGGUCACACUUGUAAUAACUAAGCACUUUGGGGUCUUACACAUAUUGAAGACUUAUACCUGUUCUACUUGGAGCACCGUGUGCCUGAGCACCUCUGCCCUGUGCCGAGUGGCAUCCUCCAUGUAGUAGGAUCUCAAUAAAUUUGUGUUAAUUGAAUGAAUGAGAACUUUUAGCCAUUGCCUUAGAAUUAACAAUUUCAGCCCAAUAGGUAAUUUAAAAAAAAAAAAGUACUUGCUCCUGUAUUUAACUCAUUGAUUAGCUUUUUGGAGAGAGACUAUCAAUGAUUUAUAUUAAAGUUUUUGUUGCCAAAAAUUGUAAUACCAGCACAGACACUGCAUUGGGAAGUUAUGAUAGCAGCUCACUGAGCUCCACCUCACGCCUGCCCUUUCUGAUGUGUCCAGUUGCAUACGUCUCUUUGAACCUCACUGGCCUGUCGUGUGGUUUGACUAGCAGCACCAUUUCCUAUCCAUCCCAGGACCACACAUUUUUCCCUUCUGUUUCCAGCAUUACCAGUUAUUUGUAUGAAGCAGUUAUUUUUUUUAUUUUUGUGUGUGUGU